rnacentral:siRNA from 1 species
CAGCGGGUGCAUCUGCCUU